rnacentral:rRNA from 1 species
UGCAGUCGAGCGGUAGCACAGAGAGCUUGCUCUCGGGUGACGAGCGGCGGACGGGUGAGUAAUGUCUGGGAAACUGCCUGAUGGAGGGGGAUAACUACUGGAAACGGUAGCUAAUACCGCAUAACGUCGCAAGACCAAAGUGGGGGACCUUCGGGCCUCAUGCCAUCAGAUGUGCCCAGAUGGGAUUAGCUAGUAGGUGGGGUAACGGCUCACCUAGGCGACGAUCCCUAGCUGGUCUGAGAGGAUGACCAGCCACACUGGAACUGAGACACGGUCCAGACUCCUACGGGAGGCAGCAGUGGGGAAUAUUGCACAAUGGGCGCAAGCCUGAUGCAGCCAUGCCGCGUGUAUGAAGAAGGCCUUCGGGUUGUAAAGUACUUUCAGCGGGGAGGAAGGCGAUAAGGUUAAUAACCUUGUCGAUUGACGUUACCCGCAGAAGAAGCACCGGCUAACUCCGUGCC